GGUUAAGCGACUAAGCGUACACGGUGGAUGCCCUGGCAGUCAGAGGCGAUGAAGGACGUGCUAAUCUGCGAAAAGCGUCGGUAAGGUGAUAUGAACCGUUACAGCCGGCGAUGUCCGAAUGGGGAAACCCAGUGCAAUUCGUUGCACUAUCGUUAACUGAAUACAUAGGUUAACGAGGCGAACCGGGGGAACUGAAACAUCUAAGUACCCCGAGGAAAAGAAAUCAACCGAGAUUCCCCCAGUAGCGGCGAGCGAACGGGGAGCAGCCCAGAGUCUGAAUCAGCUUGUGUGUUAGUGGAACGGUCUGGAAAGUCCGACGGUACAGGGUGAUAGUCCCGUACACCAAAAUGCACAGGCUGUGAACUCGAAGAGUAGGGCGGGACACGUGGUAUCCUGUCUGAAUAUGGGGGGACCAUCCUCCAAGGCUAAAUACUCCUGACUGACCGAUAGUGAACCAGUACCGUGAGGGAAAGGCGAAAAGAACCCCGGCGAGGGGAGUGAAAAAGAACCUGAAACCGUGUACGUACAAGCAGUGGGAGCACCUUCGGGUGUGACUGCGUACCUUUUGUAUAAUGGGUCAGCGACUUAUAUUCUGUAGCAAGGUUAACCGUAUAGGGGAGCCGCAGGGAAACCGAGUCUUAACUGGGCGUUAAGUUGCAGGGUAUAGACCCGAAACCCGGUGAUCUAGCCAUGGGCAGGUUGAAGGUUGGGUAACACUAACUGGAGGACCGAACCGACUAAUGUUGAAAAAUUAGCGGAUGACUUGUGGCUGGGGGUGAAAGGCCAAUCAAACCGGGAGAUAGCUGGUUCUCCCCGAAAGCUAUUUAGGUAGCGCCUCGUGAACUCAUCUUCGGGGGUAGAGCACUGUUUCGGCUAGGGGGUCAUCCCGACUUACCAACCCGAUGCAAACUACGAAUACCGAAGAAUGUUAUCACGGGAGACACACGGCGGGUGCUAACGUCCGUCGUGAAGAGGGAAACAACCCAGACCGCCAGCUAAGGUCCCAAAGUCAUGGUUAAGUGGGAAACGAUGUGGGAAGGCACAGACAGCCAGGAUGUUGGCUUAGAAGCAGCCAUCAUUUAAAGAAAGCGUAAUAGCUCACUGGUCGAGUCGGCCUGCGCGGAAGAUGUAACGGGGCUAAACCAUGCACCGAAGCUGCGGCAGCGACACUAUGUGUUGUUGGGUAGGGGAGCGUUCUGUAAGCCUGCGAAGGUGUGCUGUGAGGCAUGCUGGAGGUAUCAGAAGUGCGAAUGCUGACAUAAGUAACGAUAAAGCGGGUGAAAAGCCCGCUCGCCGGAAGACCAAGGGUUCCUGUCCAACGUUAAUCGGGGCAGGGUGAGUCGACCCCUAAGGCGAGGCCGAAAGGCGUAGUCGAUGGGAAACAGGUUAAUAUUCCUGUACUUGGUGUUACUGCGAAGGGGGGACGGAGAAGGCUAUGUUAGCCGGGCGACGGUUGUCCCGGUUUAAGCAUGUAGGCUGGUUAUCCAGGCAAAUCCGGAUAAUCAAGGCUGAGGUGUGAUGACGAGGCACUACGGUGCUGAAGUAACAAAUGCCCUGCUUCCAGGAAAAGCCUCUAAGCAUCAGGUAACAUCAAAUCGUACCCCAAACCGACACAGGUGGUCAGGUAGAGAAUACCAAGGCGCUUGAGAGAACUCGGGUGAAGGAACUAGGCAAAAUGGUGCCGUAACUUCGGGAGAAGGCACGCUGGUGUGUAGGUGAAGUCCCUGCGGAUGGAGCUGAGACCAGUCGAAGAUACCAGCUGGCUGCAACUGUUUAUUAAAAACACAGCACUGUGCAAACACGAAAGUGGACGUAUACGGUGUGACGCCUGCCCGGUGCCGGAAGGUUAAUUGAUGGGGUUAUCCGUAAGGAGAAGCUCUUGAUCGAAGCCCCGGUAAACGGCGGCCGUAACUAUAACGGUCCUAAGGUAGCGAAAUUCCUUGUCGGGUAAGUUCCGACCUGCACGAAUGGCGUAAUGAUGGCCAGGCUGUCUCCACCCGAGACUCAGUGAAAUUGAACUCGCUGUGAAGAUGCAGUGUACCCGCGGCAAGACGGAAAGACCCCGUGAACCUUUACUAUAGCUUGACACUGAACAUUGAGCCUUGAUGUGUAGGAUAGGUGGGAGGCUUUGAAGCGUGGACGCCAGUCUGCGUGGAGCCAACCUUGAAAUACCACCCUUUAAUGUUUGAUGUUCUAACGUUGGCCCCUGACCGGGGUUGCGGACAGUGUCUGGUGGGUAGUUUGACUGGGGCGGUCUCCUCCCAAAGCGUAACGGAGGAGCACGAAGGUUAGCUAAUCCUGGUCGGACAUCAGGAGGUUAGUGCAAUGGCAUAAGCUAGCUUGACUGCGAGCGUGACGGCGCGAGCAGGUGCGAAAGCAGGUCAUAGUGAUCCGGUGGUUCUGAAUGGAAGGGCCAUCGCUCAACGGAUAAAAGGUACUCCGGGGAUAACAGGCUGAUACCGCCCAAGAGUUCAUAUCGACGGCGGUGUUUGGCACCUCGAUGUCGGCUCAUCACAUCCUGGGGCUGAAGUAGGUCCCAAGGGUAUGGCUGUUCGCCAUUUAAAGUGGUACGCGAGCUGGGUUUAGAACGUCGUGAGACAGUUCGGUCCCUAUCUGCCGUGGGCGCUGGAGAAUUGAGGGGGGCUGCUCCUAGUACGAGAGGACCGGAGUGGACGCAUCACUGGUGUUCGGGUUGUCAUGCCAAUGGCACUGCCCGGUAGCUAAAUGCGGAAGAGAUAAGUGCUGAAAGCAUCUAAGCACGAAACUUGCCCCGAGAUGAGUUCUCCCUGAGACU
rnacentral:rRNA from 1 species